UCGAGCGAACAGACGGGGAGCUUGCUCCCCGACGUUAGCGGCGACGGGUGAGUAACACGUGGGUAACCUACCUAUAAGACUGGAAUAACUCCGGGAAACCGGGGCUAAAUGCCGGAUAACAUGUUGAACCGCAUGGUCCUACAGUGAAAGACGGUCUUGCUGUCACUUAUAGAUGGACCCCGCGCCGUAUUAGCUAGUUGGUAAGGUAACGGCUUACCAAGGCAACGAUACGUAGCCGACCUGAGAGGGCGAUCGGCCACACUGGAACUGAGACACGGUCCAGACUCC
rnacentral:rRNA from 1 species